UAUAUAGAGAGCCUUUCACACUUAACGGAAUCUUGUUGGUGGCAACUGUUUUGCAAGAGUGAUGUGUGGGACGCUAGCGAAACACCUGAGCCGUAGUCGGUGCUACGUGCUAAUCGCGUACUGAUCGUCUACAGAACGAGCAUCCAGAACCAAUGGCCUCCCGCGAGCUCGACCUCACGGUCUGCCAGAACAUCUGCAUCUUCCUUGAGGGAUAUGGGUUGAAAUGGAAGUACAUAUAAUUUAUAGUGGACGUGUUUCUAAUACCUUUUGAAUGGAAUGUCGACGUUCUCAUGGCCUUCCCACUCUUCGUGCUGCAAUCCAUCAUCCGAAAGCUGUGCAUCUACACCGGCCACGGCUGUCAUCUGAGGGACACAGUUGAUGGUUUGAAUGCAGAAAGAAUUGUUGCUUACAUCAUGGAUCUCGUCAGAAGUUGUGGUUGCACCGGUCAUAAUCGAGAGGAAUAUGCCAUAAGGUUGUAUUUUAAAGGAGAGGAAGAGUAGUAGCCAUCAAUGUGAUCAGGGUUCCUCGUGAGUUAAUUACGAUGCAUGAGCAAGGUUUAAACCAUGCUCACAAGCACGCACACAAAAAGGCAAGUUUAUCUACAAAGAAUUAAAUAUAAGUAGUCAGUUUCGGCCGCCGUAUUUUUCUGUUAAACCCUUUUAGAGUCGACCUUUAGUUCUAAGUUUACACAUAUAUGUGUAUGUGUUUGUCAAAAAUAUGUACUUAAAUAGGUAAAUAGUAACAAAAAAUUUGUUUUCACUGCACUUUUUUUUUCACUAAAAAAUAUUUUUUUGUCACGAAAGCAAAUACACUUUACACAUUUUAAUGGACAGAUAUUCAUGUACAAAUAUUAGUAUGUGUAUGUAUUGCGCGCGCGGUGUGUGUGUGUGUGUGUGUGUGUGUGUGUGUGUGUGUAU